rnacentral:rRNA from 1 species
GCGACCAUGGCGAACGAGGUAGUAACACGUAGGAACGUACCCCCGAGUCGGGCAUAAUCAGCCGAAAGGUUGAACAAUUCCCGAUGGUCUGUCACAGUAAAGAUUUAUCGCUCGGGGAGCGGCCUGCGCAGUAUCAGCUAGUUGGUAGGGUAACGGCCUACCAAGGCUAUGACGCUUAGGGGAGGUGAGAGCCUGACCCCCACCGAUGGGACUGAGACACGGCCCAUACACCUACGGGUGGCCGCAGUCGAGAAUCUUCCGCAAUGGACGAAAGUCUGACGGAGCGACGCCGCGUGGGACCUGCUAAACUCGUGCCAGCAGCAGCGGUAAUACGAGUGGUCCAAGCGUUAUCCGGAAUCACUGGGCGUAAAGGGUGUGUAGGUGGCACUGUUAGUCUCUUGUUAAAGCUCCCGGCUCAACCGGGAAAAGGCGAGAGAAACGGCAGCGCUCGAGGGCGCGAGAGGCGUACGGAACUAUAGGAGUAGGGGUGAAAUCCGUUGAUACCUAUGGGAACACCACAUGCGAAGGCAGUACGCUGGCGCGCACCUGACACUGAAACACGAAAGCGUGGGUAGCGAACGGGAUUAGAUACCCCGGUAGUCCACGCCCUAAACGAUCUUCACUAGCUUUUCGGAGUAUCGACCCUCUGAGAGGCGAAGCUAACGCGUUAAGUGAAGCGCCUGGGAAGUACGAGCGCAAGCUUAAAACUCAAAAGAAUAGACGGGGACUCGCACAAGCGGUGGAUCAUGCGGUUUAAUUCGAUGCUAAACGAAGAACCUCACCAGGGCUAGAAAUCCAAGCGAAGUUCCAGCGAAAGUUGGGAUGUCUCACAAGGACGGUUGGACAGGUGUUGCAUGGCUGUCGUCAGUUCGUGGUUUGAAUUGUUCCCUUAAGUGGGGUAACGAACGCAACCCUUGCCGCGUGUUACAAGUGUCACGUGGGACUGUCCGCCCUAGGCGGAAGGAAGCGAGGAUGACGCCAAGUCAGCAUGACCCUUGAUGUCCUGGGCUACACGCAUGAUACAAUGGCUGCAACAGAAGGUCGCGACGGCACUAAGCCCGAGCCAAUCCCCAAAUGCAGCCCCAGUUCGGAUUGAGGUCUGCAACUCGACCUCAUGAAGCCGGAAUCGCUAGUAAUCGCAGGUCAGCUAUACUGCGGUGAAUACGUUCUCGAGUCUUGUACUCACUGCCCGUCAAGUCAAGGGAGCCGGGAGUACCCGAAGUUCCAGUGGAGGGCCUACGGUAAGCUCGGUGACAGGGAUUAAGUCGUAACAAGGCACGGCUAGCGGAAGCUGGUCGUGGAAUUCUU